UCCUACGGGAGGCAGCAGUGGGGAAUAUUGCACAAUGGGGGAAACCCUGAUGCAGCGACGCCGCGUGAGUGAAGAAGUAUUUCGGUAUGUAAAGCUCUUUCCGCAGGGAAGAUAAUGACGGUACCUGACUAAGAAGCUCCGGCUAAAUACGUGCCAGCAGCCGCGGUAAUACGCAUGGAGCACGCGUUAUCCGGAUUUACUGGGUGUAACGGGAGCGUAGACGGCAAGGCAAGUCUGAUGUGAAAGUCCGCGGCUCAACCUCGGUACUGCAUU
rnacentral:rRNA from 1 species